rnacentral:lncRNA from 1 species
AUAGCAACAGCAGCGUAGCUGAACAUCUUACGGAUGGCCCAGGGCUCCAAAGGCUCGUUUCCUAAGUGAGAGAGAGCCUGGCUGAAGCUGUAUUACCAUUCAUUCUCCAGCCUCCGAAGUCUCAAAGCAUCACUUCCACCAUACUCUAACUGUCAAGACAAACACAAAGGCCCAGAAACUGCCAGACUGUCUUCUGAAGUGGCUAUAAUAUUUACACUCCCAUCAGCAGUGUAGAAGGGGUCUCACUAUGUUGUCUGGAGUGCUGUGGUGGAGUGGAGUGGCUAUUCACAGGAUUCUUGGAAUGGACUGUAAAAGUCUGGAAUCAAGACUUUGUGUUUCCUCUCUAACAUGUAAAGAGCUUAGAAGUUGUCGCUAUUGCCCUUACAACAAAAUGAAGCUGGACAAACUGAAAAUCAAUGACUUUUCUUGGACUCACUAUACAGCUGAGUUUGCAGAGUAAACCACUACCCUGAAAUCUGGAAAGGCAGGUGCACCCACAGAUCCUCAGCUGAGAUCCAAUUACCUGAAAUAGAAGCUGCCAUUAGGAACACUUAAAAGUGGUUCAAUAUGAAGGCAGUAGGAGGGACCAGAUGAACUCGCAUGAUUACACAUUCACAUCCGAUAUUCCACCAUUCAGCUCUUCUUCCAGCUCUUUUCCCAGUGGGAGAGCACUAAGACUACUGGUUUGUAGCCUGUUCUGCUGGGACACAGAAUCACUUGCUCCAUCUCAUACAUUGAUGAUGAUUAAUUUGUAUGUGUACCUUCCAAAAAAGAUGGUUGUGUUUGAAUGGAGGCCUUCUGGACAGGAAAAUAUGGAGAGUGCGUGCUUUGGAUUCAAGACUGGGAAUGAGGGGACCAGAAACCUAUUCUGUGGCUGU